UUAUCUUUUAAGUUUCCCCAUCUAUCAUGAUGGUGGAAGUGGAACUAUAUAGAGCAGCUGGAGAUACUUGAGAGUAUAACAAGGUCAGGGCUGUUCAUUCGCACUUGCAGUUGCACCAUUUCUGCCUUUGCAAUCAAUAUGAGUAGGUGUAAGACUGCAUUGUGUUCUUUUGCACUUGCACUUGAAGUCUUUGUGGCUGUUAAUUUGAAAUGAUAUGCUGAUCUAUAGGCUGGUACUCUAUUUUUUCGUCCCCUCAAUACUGGCUGCACUUACUGAUAGUUGCAUGAUGAUUUGUCAACAAUCUCGAGAAGUAUCUCGGAAUUGUACAAUGUUGGCAAUUUGCUGUAAUGUUGUUUCUGCUUCUGAUCAUAGCUUAGUCAUUUCAGCAUUGAUGUUAUUCUACUGUAUGAUGACUAGUCUUGCUCGAUUUGGUGCUUUCUUGAUCAUUUGCCACUUCAAUGAAUGGAAGACUUACCAUCUUUCCUUUAGUGCAGUUUAAUUCUAGUUAAAAACAAAGAACCAUGUAAUAUCUAUUUUUGCAUGUACACUUUAUCUUUAUAUGCCCAAAUACCACCUUUUGCUAUUCUAGAAAGCAGCAGGUGCUGUCAUACUGAGUUUAGCUUAUUGAUGAUUCUAGUUUGCCCAGCCUGCUACUAAUGGCUUCUCUCCACCUCUCUCUCUCUCUCUCUCUCUCUCUCUCUCUCUCUCUCUCUCUCUCUCUCUCUCUGUCCAGUGUAGUGUUGCUGUUCUUUCUUUAUGGCUAGGCCACGUAGGUUGCCGUCAAAACUUCUCCCAAGAUAUGUUUUAGGAAAUGAGUGUUUCUUGUUUUUUGAUGUUUUAGGAAACAGCAGGCGUUAUCAUCGCUGAGUUUAGCUACUGAUAGUGCUAGUGUUCUCAGCGCAAGGACUCCUCUUCCUUCUUUCUCUCCCUCUCUCUCUUUCUCUCUGUCUCAUGGCUGCCGGUGCACCACGUCUUCCAUAUGAUUCAAUCCAGUUUCUUCCCCCUCCAGCACCUCCAGCGGGCCUCACUUUCUGGGAGAUCCUUGGAAUCGCCCUCAUCAUCAUCUUAGGAGCGAAGCGACCCAGGAAACGACGGUGGCGGCGGGGAUGUGGAGCUCGCUGCCAUAGCAGAGCUUCCACCAGCUCCCCGGCACCUACGCCCUGUUGCGUGACUGCAUGAGGAUGUCCUUUCACAUGAUUCUAUGAUUACCCGAGUCCAUGAAGCAAUCAAUAAUCUUCCUGAAAUAUUUUAUGUCUAAGCGCACAAUGAUUGAACAAUUGCCUCAAUAAAUUUGGUUAUGUAGCAUGCGGACGAGACGAGACAAGUAUGCCUCAAUAAAUUUGUAAUUUAAACUACUGACUUUGAGCACUAUGAGUUAUUGGAACUAUGUUCAAAUGGAUGAUUGCAAAAAUAUUAUCCUUUUUUUUAUGUUGUUGUACUGUUAUAUAAAUAAAAAAAUUAGCUCAUUUUAUACCUGUUCAAUUUGUGUGGAAGUGCAGGCUGUGCUGUUGAAAAUUCUGUACGUGUGUAUUAGAAAGUCUGUGCUGUUGAAAAGCUAUACAUUUGGGUGCCAUGCAAAUUUGAACAUAUAUAUAGUGUUGCAACUUGGGUGCCAUGUAUAUUUUACAACCGGAUUGAAACUGGAGCCAACUUAAAAAAAAAAAUGAGACCAACCCAAG